rnacentral:sRNA from 1 species
GAUAUCAGGGUCAAAAGGUCAAAAAGGUCGUUCGUGCUUGCACGAUAAGACUUUUGAACUUGGGACCCGCCAAACAUGAGAAAGUAGCGAUUUACGUAGUAAAUCAGCGGAUUUCGAAUGUUUGAGAAUUGCGGAAAUUGCGUAGCAAUGUAGCAAUUCGGAUACAU